UACAGAGGGUGCGAGCGUUAAUCGGAAUUACUGGGCGUAAAGCGUGCGUAGACAGUUAUUUAAGUCGGGUGUGAAAGCCCCGGGCUCAACCUGGGAAUUGCAUUCGAGACUGAAUAGCUAGGGUACGGUAGAGGGAAGUGGAAUUUCCGGUGUAGCGGUGAAAUGCGUAGAUAUCGGAAGGAACAUCAGUGGCGAAAGCGACUUCCUGGACCAGUACCGACGUUCAGGCACGAAAGCGUGGGGAGCAAACAGG
rnacentral:rRNA from 1 species